AUGAACGCUAGCGACAGGCCUAACACAUGCAAGUCGAGGGGCAGCACAAGGAGCAAUCUGAGGUGGCGACCGGCGCACGGGUGAGUAACACGUAUGCAACCUGCCUGUAAGCGGGGAAUAACCCGUUGAAAGACGGACUAAUACCGCAUAAUACUAAAUUACUGCAUGGUAAUUAUUUAAACAUUUAUGGCUUACAGAUGGGCAUGCGCAUGAUUAGCUAGUUGGAGAGGUAACGGCUCCCCAAGGCAACGAUCAUUAGGGGUUCUGAGAGGAAGGUCCCCCACACUGGUACUGAGACACGGACCAGACUCCUACGGGAGGCAGCAGUGAGGAAUAUUGGUCAAUGGACGAGAGUCUGAACCAGCCAAGUCGCGUGCAGGAAGAAUGUCCUUAAUGGAUUGUAAACUGCUUUUGCAGGGGAAUAAAGUGCAUCACGUGUGAUGUUUUGUAUGUACUCUGCGAAUAAGGAUCGGCUAACUCCGUGCCAGCAGCUGC
rnacentral:rRNA from 1 species